UUCUUCAGGCUCGUCAGGUGGGCAGGGCAGUUCUGCUUCCAGUGGCCAUCUUUUUUGUUGCAGUGGAAACACUUUUCUUUCUCGAUGGCUUUUUUCUUUGGAACUUCUUUCUUCGGCUUGUUCUCUACCUUCUACUUCUUUGUAGACUUUUUUUCUUCCUAGUAGACUUUUUCUUGAAAAACAUCUACUCCAUAGCAAGAACAAAAUCUCUUGAAC
rnacentral:lncRNA from 1 species